UACGGAGGGUGCAAACGUUGCUCGGAAUCAUUGGGCGUAAAGCGCACGUAGGCGGUCCAGCAAGUCGGGUGUGAAAGCCCUCGGCUUAACCGAGGAAGUGCAUUCGAAACUACUGGACUUGAAUACUGGAGAGGGUUGCGGAAUUCCCGGUGUAGAGGUGAAAUUCGUAGAUAUCGGGAGGAACACCAGUGGCGAAGGCGGCAACCUGGACAGAUAUUGACGCUGAGGUGCGAAAGCGUGGGGAGCAAACAGG
rnacentral:rRNA from 2 species